rnacentral:rRNA from 1 species
UACGUAGGGGGCAAGCGUUGUCCGGAUUUAUUGGGCGUAAAGCGCGCGCAGGCGGCGUGCAGAGCCCGGCGUGAAAGCCCCCGGCUCAACCGGGGAACUGCACGGGAAACUGGAAGGCUUGAGUUCGGGAGAGGGAAGCGGAAUUCCGGGUGUAGCGGUGAAAUGCGUAGAUAUCCGGAGGAACACCGGUGGCGAAGGCGACUGACUGGACAGAUAUUGACGCUGAGGUGCGAAAGCGUGGGGAGCAAACAGG